GAUGAACGCUAGCUACAGGCUUAACACAUGCAAGUCGAGGGGAAACGACAUCGAAAGCUUGCUUUUGAUGGGCGUCGACCGGCGCACGGGUGAGUAACGCGUAUCCAACCUGCCCACCACUUGGGGAUAACCUUGCGAAAGUAAGACUAAUACCCAAUGACGUCUCUAGAAGACAUCUGAAAGAGAUUAAAGAUUUAUCGGUGAUGGAUGGGGAUGCGUCUGAUUAGCUUGGUGGCGGGGUAACGGCCCACCAAGGCGACGAUCAGUAGGGGUUCUGAGAGGAAGGUCCCCCACAUUGGAACUGAGACACGGUCCAAACUCCUACGGGAGGCAGCAGUGAGGCCUCUUGGUCCCUGGCCGCGAGUCUGCCCCCGCCAAGUAGCGUGCAGGAUGACGGCCCUAUGGGUUGUAAACUGCUUUUAUAAGGGAAUAAAGUGAGUCUCGUGAGCCUUUUUGCCUGUACCUUCUGCAUCAGGCCCGGCUCCUUCCGUG
rnacentral:rRNA from 1 species